rnacentral:rRNA from 1 species
GACGAACGCUGGCGGCGUGCUUAACACAUGCAAGUCGAACGGGCCUUGUCCCCUUUUUUUUUGGGGGUGGGGUUAGUGGCGAACGGGUGAGUAACACGUGAGUAACCUGCCCCUCACUUCUGGAUAACCGCUUGAAAGGGUGGUUAAUACGGGGUGUUCUGGCCUGCUCGCAUGGGUGGGUUUGGAAAGAUUCGACCGGUUUUGGUUGUUUUGGUGGGGGAUGGGCUCGCGGCCUAUCAGCUUGUUGGUGGGGUGAUGGCCUGCCAAGGCUUUGACGGGUAGCCGGCCUGAGAGGGUGGGCGGUCACACUGGGACUGAGACACGGCCCAGACUCCUACGGGAGGCAGCAGUGGGGAAUAUUGCACAAUGGGCGCAAGCCUGAUGCAGCGACGCCGCGUGAGGGAUGGAGGCCGUCGGGUUGGGAACCUCUUUCGCCAGUGAAGAAGGUCCUGCUCUUUGUGGUGGGGUUGACGGUAGCUGGGUUAAUGAAGCGCCGGCUAACUACGUG